UACGUAGGGGGCAGGCGUUAUCCGGAAUUACUGGGUGUAAAGGGAGCGUAGACGGUAAUGUAAGUCUGGAGUGAAAGGCGGGGGCCCAACCCCCGGACUGCUCUGGAAACUAUGUUACUAGAGUGCAGGAGAGGUAAGCGGAAUUCCUAGUGUAGCGGUGAAAUGCGUAGAUAUUAGGAGGAACACCAGUGGCGAAGGCGGUCUGCUGGACAGCAACUGACGCUGAGGCGCGAAAGCGUGGGGAGCAAACAGG
rnacentral:rRNA from 1 species